ACCUGGCUGGCUCAGGGGAGCAUGUGACUCUUGAUCUCAGGGUUGUGAGUUCGAGCCCCAUGUUGGGUG
rnacentral:tRNA from 1 species